GUGCUGACCUCCGAUGUCAGAUUCAAGCUCCAACUAUCAGAGCUUGGAAAAUGGGUUACACCAUUAACUCAUUCCAAGCCAGGAUAGUCAUUUAACAUUUACUUGAUCCACACAAAUAUAUAUUGAGUGCUAUGUGCUAGGAGCCCUAAUGGCUGGGAGUAUGGCUGUGGAAAAGGCUGAUAAAGUUCUUGCUGUCAUGGAGAAGACGGGAAGGUAUAAUGAAGAAUCUUGAGGUCAUCCUGGAUUACCAAAGUGGGCCCUAAAUCCAGUGGCAGAAGACACAGACACAGAGAGGAGACCAGGUGAAGACAAAAGAAGAGGCUGGAGUGAUGCGACCAUCAGAGAGUGAAAAUACUCAGUUACCUCUUGGUUUAUGAGGCAAUGAAGCAUUCCAGCACAUAAAUAUUGACGCUGAGACCCAUGGGAUGUAGGAGUGCUGAGCACAUUUGCAAGACAUAAAGACAGAAGUGUGUGUGGUAUCUAGAUGAGAUGCAUGGUGAUGACUGGAGACUGGGCGUGAUGAAUGACUUAGGAAACCUCUGGAGGGUGCCUGCUUUGUGGCCAUAAACCACUGUGCCCAUGUGGAAAACACUGCAGUCCUGGGUCAGAAGAUAAACUUCAUGCUUGAUAAAAAAAAAACAACCAAAAGGUAAGGUUUUCUUCUGGUGUGCUGCAGUCUUUAGUCUUCUUCUGUUUUCCAUUCCCACUGGCAGUUCAAAGAUGUCCUUAAUCCAUCAUAUACCUCUUGAAUGUGUGCUGUGGGUUUACUGUCAUGAUGAAAAACUACUUCAUGAACUUAGUGAAGGAACUCGGGAUUGAGUCCGAGCUGCUUACAUAGCUUCUGGGGAAAAUUCACCCAAAUGUGGGGGAAGCAAUCCAAGAGGCACUUCAAGUAUUUGUUUUGAAAUAAAAAUAUUGACAGUGGUACAUAUUUUUUUUUCAAAGGUGUUUGUUAUUCCAUAAAUCCAUAUAGGUGAAUUUCAUUAGCGAAGUUCAGAUCACUAAUCUGAUGAUGCUACCUCUGUUAUGUCUCAAAUCUGCUCCCGCACCUCUAUCCUACUGCUACUAGUAUAAUUCAGACCCUCUCCCCUGAACUGUUACCUUAGACUCCUCAUGUCUGUAAUUUGUUUUACCUUUCUCAGCUAGAUUAAUCUUCCUGAAGCACAAAUCCAAUCAUGUCAAUAUUUUUCUCAGAAACAAAAUAGUAUCCCUUUUCCUGGAGAAUAAAGUCUAAUCUUAGCCAGUUGACUCAGCUCCGGCUCCAUUUAUCUCCACCAUUCAUUACCUCUCCUGCUUAUAACCAAUUACUGGCAUACCUCAGAGACAUGAUGGGUUCAGUUCCAAACCACCACAAUAAGGUGAAUAUCUCAAUAAAGCAAGUCACACAAUUGUUUUGGUUUCUCAGUGCAUAUAAAAGUUAUAUGUACAUUGUAGCUUAUUAGGGUACAAUUGAAUUAUGUCUAAAAAAAUCUAUAUACCUUAAUUUAAUAAAAACUAGCAUAUUACUAAAAAAUGCUAACAAUCAUUUGAACCUUCAGCAAAGUAUAAACUUUUUGCCAGUCUUGCCUUAAUGUUGAUGGCUGCUGACUAGUCAGAGAAAAUGAUUGCUGAGGGUUGGAGUGGCUGUGGCAAUUUCUUAAAAUAAAACAAUGAAAUUUGCCGCAUCAAUUGACUCUUCCUUUCACAAAAGAUUUCCCUGUAGCACGUGAUGCUGUGUGAUAGCAUUUUACCCACAGAAGAACUUCUUUAAAAAUUGGAGUGAGUCCUCUCAAACCCUGAUGCUUCAACUUAAAGUCACUAGCUGCAUUAACCCUUGCUAACAAGAGAGUCAGCCUGUCCUUUGAAGUUUGAAGCCAGGCAUUGACUUCUCUCUAGCUAUCAAAGUCAUAGACGGCAUAUUCUUCCAUUUUAAGGUGGUUUCAGUUGCAUGAAAAAACUUGUUUAGUGUAGCCAGCUUCAUCAAUGAUCUUAGCUAGAUCUGGAUAACUUGCUGUAGCUUCUACAUCUGCAUCAGCCUGCCUCAUCUUGAAUUUUUAUGUUAUGAACAGGGCUUCUUUUCUUAAACCUCAUAAACCAACUUCUGUUACUGUCGGACUUUUUUUCUGCAGCUUUCUCCCCUCUUUCAAUCUUCAGAGAACUGAAGAGAGUUAGGGUCUUGCUUUCGAUUAGGCUUUGGCUUAAGGGAAUGUUGUGGCUGGUUUGAACUUCUAUCGACAUGGCGAGUGACCAUGGCCCGUGACACAGACCUCAGGAAGUCCUCAGAACAUGUGCCCAAGGUGGUCGGGGUGCAGCUUAGUUUUAUACAUUUUAGAGAGGCAUGAGACACCAAUCAAAUACAUUUAAGAAACACAUUGGUUUGGUCCAGAAAGGCGGGACAACUCAAAGUAGGGAGGGGUGGGAGGAAGGGGUUGGCUUCCAGGCUAUAGGUAAAUUUAAACAUUUUCUAGUUGACAAUUGGUUGCGUUUGUCUAAAGACCUGGAAUCCAUAGAAAGGGAAAGUUCAGGUUAAGAUAAAAGAUUUGGAGACCAAAGUUCUUUCGAAGUCUUAUAAUGGCUGCCCUUAGAGACAAUAGAUGACAAAGUUUCCUAUUCAGAUCUUAGUUAAUCUCUUUAGGAUUGGGAGAGUCUGGAAGAAAAAGAACUAGCUAUGUUAAUAGAGAUUCUUUAUAGUUGCAAAUUUUCCCCCCAAAGAACACCUUUGCAGGGCCAUUUCAAAAUAAGGCAAAUAAACAUGUUUUGGGGUGAAGUAUUUUGAUUUUUUUCCUUCUCUCAUAAUGUUAUGCCAGAGUCGGGUUGGAAAGCAAGUCACGAUAUAUAAGGUUCAAUAAAACCUAUCUGAUGAGAAUUUAUGAUUUGUAGGGCAUGAUUCCCCAGACCUCUUAGAUAGGCAUUCGGGCAAGAU